rnacentral:tRNA from 1 species
GCGGGGAUAGCUCAGUUGGGAGAGCGUCAGACUGAAGAAAAACUUCGGGUCAGUCUAUCUGAAGGUCGUCGGUUCAAUCCCGACUCACCGCA